GUGACCCUCCAAUGCAAAUCAAACACUCCUGUAUGUUUGUUCAGUAUUUAUGUGCUUCUGAUUGGAUCUGGAGCGUCACAUCACCACUUUCAAGAUGAAGAGUUCACUCUGCUUACUGCUGCUCUCAUUCAGCGUACACCGUUUAAAAUGUCAAAGUAUGGAGUCCAUUGAAAGCACGGUUCAGAAAAAGCCUGGAGAAACUCUGACUCUGUCCUGUAGAGGAUCCGGGUUCAGCUUUGACUGCUGUAGCAUGCACUGGAUCAGACAACAAGCUGGAAAACCUCUCGUGUGGAUUGGACGUGUUUAUAGUCAUGGUAACAGCCAUGACUAUGCUGAAGCCUUCAACAGACGAACUGAAAUCACCAGAGAUAAUUCAAAGAAUAUGGUAUAUCUGAAACUGUCGGGCCUGACAACAGAAGACUCAGCCACAUAUUACUGCGCAAAACAAACACAGUGACACAAAGUUCUUGAACGGCUGAACAAAAACCACUUGAGUGUUUCAUCUCUUGUCACUAGAGUUCAACAGGUGGCAGCAGAGAAUAAAAAAUCCACAAAAUACAGACUAAUGAGAAGAUAUACCAUCUGUCACAGCAUUAUUAAAGCCUAUUAUAUUACUGUUAAAUUUACAAUACACUAUAAAAGCUCUAACAUCACACAGCACAAAUGCAUAUCUGACUCCUUUAACACAACACAUAUUUUUGAUACGUAGAUUUGUGGUAAUGGCUACACAUUUUACAAUGACAAACUAAAAAUAUGUUUCAAUUAACCAGAGACUCUUCCAGGAGUCUACAAGUGAAAGUGACUCUACAAGGGCAAAAUAUAAUAAUGAAUAUCAGCAUCAUACUGUGAAUACAGUAAUAAACAACAAGCAGUUCUAAAACAUAUUGAAUGAAAAGAAAAAUCCUCUGAAUAUAAAAAUGCAAGAGUUGAUUCAAGUG